rnacentral:misc_RNA from 1 species
GAUGAAGAACGUAGCGAAAUGCGAUAAGUAAUGUGAAUUGCAGAAUUCAGUGAAUCAUCGAAUCUUUGAACGCACAUUGCGCCCCCUGGUAUUCCGGGGGGCAUGCCUGUUCGAGCGUCAUUAUAACCACUCAAGCUCUCGCUUGGUAUUGGGGCUCGCGGUUCCGCGGCCCCUAAAAUCAGUGGCGGUGCCUGUCGGCUCUACGCGUAGUAAUCCUCCUCGCGAUUGAGUCCGGUAGGUCUACUUGCCAGCAACCCCCAAUUUUUACAGGUUGACCUCGGAUCAGGUAGGGAUACCCGCUGAACUUAAGCAUAUCAAUAAGCGGAGGA